rnacentral:rRNA from 1 species
GCUUGUUCUCAAAGAUUAAGCCAUGCAUGUCUAAGUAUAAGCAAUUAUACCGUGAAACUGCGAAUGGCUCAUUAAAUCAGUUAUCGUUUAUUUGAUAAUACCUUACUACUUGGAUAACCGUGGUAAUUCUAGAGCUAAUACAUGCUGAAAAUCCCGACUUCGGAAGGGAUGUGUUUAUUAGAUAAAAAACCAAUGCCCUUCGGGGCUCCUUGGUGAUUCAUGAUAACUUUACGGAUCGCAUAGCCUUGCGCUGGCGACGGUUCAUUCAAAUUUCUGCCCUAUCAACUUUCGAUGGUAAGGUAUUGGCUUACCAUGGUUUCAACGGGUAACGGGGAAUUAGGGUUCGAUUCCGGAGAGGCAGCCUGAGAAACGGCUACCACAUCCAAGGAAGGCAGCAGGCGCGCAAAUUACCCAAUCCCGACACGGGGAGGUAGUGACAAUAAAUACUGAUACAGGGCUCUUUUGGGUCUUGUAAUUGGAAUGAGUACAAUUCAAAUCUCUUAACGAGGAACAAUUGGAGGGCAAGUCUGGUGCCAGCAGCCGCGGUAAUUCCAGCUCCAAUAGCGUAUAUUAAAGUUGUUGCAGUUAAAAAGCUCGUAGUUGAAACUUGGGCCUGGCUGGCGGGUCCGCCUCACCGCGUGCACUCGUCCGGCCGGGCCUUCCUUCUGAAGAACCUCAUGCCCUUCACUGGGCGUGCUGGGGAAUCAGGACUUUUACUUUGAAAAAAUUAGAGUGUUCAAAGCAGGCCUUUGCUCGAAUACGUUAGCAUGGAAUAAUAAAAUAGGGCGUGCGUUUCUAUUUUGUUGGUUUCUAGAGACGCCGCAAUGAUUAACAGGAACAGUCGGGGGCAUCAGUAUUCAGUUGUCAGAGGUGAAAUUCUUGGAUUUACUGAAGACUAACUACUGCGAAAGCAUUUGCCAAGGAUGUUUUCAUUAAUCAGUGAACGAAAGUUAGGGGAUCGAAGACGAUCAGAUACCGUCGUAGUCUUAACCGUAAACUAUGCCGACUAGGGAUCGGGCGAUGUUCUUUUUCUGACUCGCUCGGCACCUUACGAGAAAUCAAAGUUUUUGGGUUCUGGGGGGAUUAUGGUCGCAAGGCUGAAACUU